rnacentral:rRNA from 1 species
UACAGAGGUCCCGAGCGUUGUUCGGAUUUAUUGGGCGUAAAGGGUGCGUAGGCGGCGGAGUAAGUUGGGUGUGAAAUCCCGGGGCUUAACCUCGGAAUGGCAUUCAAUACUGCUUCGCUAGAGUACUGGAGAGGAGGCUGGAAUUUACGGUGUAGCAGUGAAAUGCGUAGAUAUCGUAAGGAAGGCCGGUGGCGAAAGCGGCCAUCUGGACCAGCACUGACGCUGAGGCACGAAAGCGUGGGGAGCAAACAGG